rnacentral:rRNA from 1 species
GAUGAACGCUGGCGGCGUGCCUAAUACAUGCAAGUCGAGCGAACAGAUGAGGAGCUUGCUCCUCUGACGUUAGCGGCGGACGGGUGAGUAACACGUGGAUAACCUACCUAUAAGACUGGGAUAACUUCGGGAAACCGGAGCUAAUACCGGAUAAUAUAUUGAACCGCAUGGUUCAAUAGUGAAAGACGGUUUUGCUGUCACUUAUAGAUGGAUCCGCGCCGCAUUAGCUAGUUGGUAAGGUAACGGCUUACCAAGGCAACGAUGCGUAGCCGACCUGAGAGGGUCCUCGGCCACUCUGGCACUGCGACACCGUCCACACUCCUACGGGCCGCAGCAGUAGGCAAUCUUCCGCAAUGGGCGACCGCCUGACCGGGCUACGCCGCGUGAGUGAUGAAGGUCUUCGGAUCGUAAAACUCUGUUAUUAGGGAAGAACAAAUGUGUAAGUAACUAUGCACGUCUUGACGGUACCUAAUCAGAAAGCCACGGCUAACUACGUG